rnacentral:lncRNA from 1 species
GGGGCAUUGCGAGAAUUGAAAGCUCUCGCACCCAAAGCGAGAAUCAUACCACUAGACAAAAUGCCCACGUUGAAAUGACAAGGGCUAAGUCAAAACUAUCAUCAGCUAUUUUAUUAAAAUUGUUGACUCAUGCUACAUGAUCUGAAGUUUUAAAUUUCUUUAUGCAUGCGUAUGAUCUCCAGUUUUAUUAUUGUGUGAAGGAUCCCUCUCAAAACCAAUCGGCAAUGAAAGGAGUAUACCAGAAUGUAUUUAAACCAUGCCUUGGAGAACGAGGCAGACAAUGUGGACUUGCUUCACAACAUAUUGUUUAUUCAUGCUGCAUAAUCUUUCUCCUCUCGUGAAAAUGAAUUGGUGAUUAAAGAUACCAAUUCCUUAAGCUAACAUGAUUUUUUAGUACAUCUGCUAAACUGUCACUUGGGACUCAAAAGCUUUCAACCAAUGCUCUUCGAUGUUCAUGCUUCACAUCGUUCAUCCAAAGGGAUAAAAUAGGAAAGGUUUUUGGUGUGACGUUUGGCGUUGAGAAUAAGUUGAAAUAAAAGGAACCGUUUCUUGGCGUUGAGAAUAGGUUGAUAAGGUUUCGGCGUAAUGAUAAGGUUGUUUAUCUUGUAACUUGAUGAUGGUUAAUGAUUUCAAAUCCUGAAAACAUUCUUUUUGCUUGUGAGGACAAGACUCUGUAUCUACCCUUCCCAGAUCUUGUCGGGUUUUAUAUGUUUGGUUUUGCUGAAGACUGGUGGGUAUAGUGAAGAUAUAAUCCCUAUGGUACACAAUCUUUC